rnacentral:rRNA from 1 species
ACUUUCAGCGACGGAUGUCUUGGCUCCCACAUCGAUGAAGAACGCAGCGAAAUGCGAUACGUCUUGCGAAUUGCAGAAUCCAGUGAAUCAUCAAAACUUUGAACGCACCUUGCGCUUCCGGGAUAUCCCCUGGGAGCAUGCCU